AGCUUUGUGCAGUGGCAGUAUCAUAGCCAGUGAGGUUUAUCUGAGGCACAAUUAUUGCUAAUUAAAAAAAAUCUGUAUCUCCCUGGUCUGACGGGCAGGCGAGCAGCCCUGAGGAGGA
rnacentral:snRNA from 1 species